rnacentral:lncRNA from 1 species
ACGGAGUCUUCUUAUGAAAGAAACACGUCUCCCAAGGCUUUGGCUGCCAUAGGUAGUGAUUCCCGUGGUGACCUGGGCAAAGUCGUCUGAAAAUAUCUGGGAGAGGAUCGCCCCUCUAGCUGCCGUCAGAGCAGGUGUGACUCAUGGAAGAGGUUAAAAUAUCCACUUUAGUGGGAGUUUGGAAGAAACAGAUCCAGAUCGUCCUGGAUGACUUUGAAGGGUUCAAGACGUCAGUGGAGGAAGCAGCUGCAGGUGUGGAGCAAAUAGCAAGAGAACCAGAAAUAGAAGCCUGCAAACGUGACUGAACUGCUGCCAUCUCGUGAUAAAGCCUUAGCAGAUGAGGAGCUGCCUUUUAUGAAUGAGCAAAGGAAGUGGUUUCUUGAGAUGGAAUCAGCUCUGGUGAAGAUGCUGUGAAGAUGUUGAAAUGACAACAACGGACUUAGACUACUCCAUAAACUGAGCUAAGCAGCGUGGGGCUUGAGAGGCUGAGUCCGACUUUGAAAGAAGUUCUAAUGUGGGGAAAACGCAAUCAGCAUUGCAUGCUACAGAGAAAUCGUGCAUGACAGGAAGAGUUAAUCGAUUUGGUAGCCUUCGUCGUGGUCUUAUUUUAAGAAAUUGCCACAGCCAGCCCAGCCUUCAGCAGCCCCCACCCUGAUCCAUCAGCAGCAUCAAUGUGCAGGCAGGACCCUCCACCAGCAAAAAGACUGUGACUCACUAAAGCCUCAGAUGAUUGUUCAACCUCUUUAGCAAGAAAACACUUUUUAAAAUUAAGGGUGUCAGUCCCUGCUGCAGGUGCCCGAGGCAGGUCAAGAUGGAAAGGCCAGCUCAGAUUCACCACCACCGAAGUGCCCGAAGCGACGAGAAAGUAUCGCCCACCUUGUAAAUUCGGCUUCACUCCACUUUGAUUUUGCAAAAGAUCUGCAUUAGUACCUGUUUUCACGAACCAAAAGAAAUCCGGGAGGACUUUCACUUUUACAGGAGAAGGGGAGAAGCAGAGCUGGCGUUCAGGGCUGGCUCUGCGGUUAGUCACUAUACCUAUACCGUCAGCGCCACCCCAGGCAGCCCAGUGGCCCGGGCAGUCUCCUUUCCCGGGGGCCAGCCUUGGUGUCAAGCCCCAGAGCUCCAAGCAGCGUCCGUGAGCAUCCGGUUCUCUCUUCAUCGGCGUGAUACGUCCAGGCAGUACGGCACGGCCUCAGACUGGGGAGUAAUUCUAACUCCCGUGACUUCGUCGUGCCUCGAAGUAGAAGUCUAGACAUCUGGAUUUGGACAUCUGGAUUCAUCCCUUGCUGUAUCCUCUAGGUUCUUUAAGGACACCGUCAAAGAUGGUGACCGACGCAGACCCUUGUAAAACGUCACAAGACUGGCAUACUUGUAGGUGAUAAGGACGGAGAAAUAAAACAUAGGAUCUCAGCCCGGCCUUACAGGUGCUGCCCAAAGUCACAACAUCUGGAGCGCAGCCUGGAGCUGAGACGCGGGGGCUCUGCCGUGAGCCUGCUCGGCCCGGCCCCGAGGCUGGGCGCUCUCAUCCGGACCUGCUUUGGUGCAGGAGAGCAGGAUGGCAGCGGCCGGGAGGUUUCGCAUCCAGACUGAGCCAGGGUGAAGGCCUCCGAGCAGCGGCAGUUUCUCCUUCCAGGGGGACCUUCAGCCCCUCCGUCCGCUUUCGGCAGGUGGUGUGUGCAUGGGGAGCACACGUCCCGAGGGCUUGGCUCCGGCUCUGCCAUUGACCGUCCCGUGACCCUGGGCUCUAACUUCUUGCUGAGCCUCCGUUUUCUCUCGGGCAAAAUGCAGGUGCUAAUCAUCCCCACUUCAUGGAUUGCUGGGAUCACAUCUCUGUUGUGGAAAACUUUAGGGUAAACUAAAGUGAGCUAGAGGCAGAACAUCGGGUCUGGGCCGUGUGUCUGCCGAUUGGCUAGUUUAACCUUGAGAAAAACCUCUGCCACUGCCUGCCCGUCUGUUUCCGGUCUCCAAGCCCAGAUCUUUCUCUUCGCAGGCCCCAGACACGCCCCUGGUACAUGGAGAUAUCUCAUACUGGCAAUAAUAUAACAUUUCUUUUAUUUGAUGAUGUUAUUGAAUAAUUUUUUAUUUUUAAUCUAAGCAAACACUUAAGUUUAAAAAAACUAGUAACUAUGAAUCUUAACAUAGAAAUGUUAGCCCCUGCCUGUCUUCCACCCAGUGCCGAUCCACCACUUCCACUGCUUUUAACUGGUUUAUCUGGAAAUAGCUCUACAUGUCUAAACAGCAUCCUUACUCUACAAGUCUUGAUGAUUUUUAAGUUUUAAUUGUUACCUGUUGACUUCCUAGCAUGGGAAGAAAGGAUUUAACCCUCCCCUCCCGUCACGGACACAGACACACCCCUCCGCACCCCCCACCCUCCUCUUCCAUCCGUUCUGUAUGCGGAUCGUACGUUUUGGUGGGAUAUUCGGAUGUCACACUGGGUUCACAGUUAAGUCAGAUAACAUGUGUGAUGACACGCAGCUGCACGUCUUUGCGUACACAAAUUGUUUCCCUGAAGGUAAUAAUUGCAUUGCUUUCCUGUUUGCUGAGUGUUCUCCUGGUAUCACUCGUUCGGCCCAGAAUCUUUAUAAAAGUGUCGCAUGUCCUUUCACUGCACCCGCACACGUGUGCCAUCUCUCAGCCCCUGGAGCCCAUGUCUCUGGGGGUCCCACCUCCUUGGUUCCGCGCUGGGCUGGCCGCUCUCGAGACCCACCGCGUCACCGCAUCCCCGGGCUCCCGGGCCUGGGCUCCGUUCCCGUCCUCCUGGGGAACGCGGCCCCCCCCUCGCUCUGCUGUGGCUUCUCUGCCUCCUGGAUCCCGUGGCUUCUUCCUGCUUGUUUUCCUCCUUCGCUUUGUAGAAGCACGUUGUCCAGUAAUGUCUCCAAAAGAGGAAGGAUGGCUUUUGUUUCUGGAGGGUGCACACCUGAAACGGUCUUUAUUCCACGCUUCCAUGUGGUUGAUUAUUUGAUUGGACACAGAAUUACCAAUACAGCUCAGAAACAUUUUUUCUCCCGAUUUU